GGGCUUCCGGCGGAAGCGCUGGAAGCAAGAUGGCGGCCGCCGAGAGGGUUCACAAAGGGUAGGGUGGUGUGGAGCAAGGCAGGGUCCUCGCAGGCAGUGCCAAGAUUGAGCUGGGGGUGGGCAGAGUGGGCGGGGUGCGGACCCAUGGCCCUACGCAUCCUGGGCCAGGUCUCUUGUGGUGCUUCACGCUCUCGACCUGUGAGUGGUGCCUGCUAGAGCUGCCCAGAUCCCUUUUCCCUACCCCUUCUGACCCUGGACCCAGAGUGGUGGUUGCGAUCUGCUACCGUGACGUCAGCCCUCAUUCGUUCGUUCCACAAACUCCACAGCUCUGGUCCAUUAGAGGAAGGAGGUCCCAGAAUAGCUGGGAAAUUACGAGAACAGCCUCACUGCACGAGUUGGUGAAUGCUGUGAUGGCGAUUGUAUGAUGGACGGUGAUGUUGAAACCAGACUGGGGAAUGACCGCCCCAUCCGGAGAGAAAAGCACCAAGGAUUCUCUUUUGUUGAAUUUGAGUUGGCAGAGGAUGUUGCAGCAGCUGUCAACAACAUGUUUGGUCAGAUGAAGACUGGGUGGAGAAGUUUGCUGGGAAGAGGAUAAAGAGGAAGGUGGUUGAGACUUCCCAAAGCAGAAAGCCAGGAGCGCAGCCCAUUUACUGCCUUCUCCAGGAAGCUUUUCUGAAUCCUCCAGUGAGUAAGGGAGAGCCCACUGCUAAAAAAGGCCUAGUCAAAUCCUCAGGUGUACAUGGACAUCAAGAUUGGGAACAAGCCGGCUGGCUGCAUCCAAACCCUCCUGCGUUCCGACGUCGUGCCCAUGACCACAGAGAAUUUUCUCUACAUGUGCACCCAUUUAAAGGACUCGGCUUCAAGGGAAGCAGCUUCCACCGCAUUAUCCCCCAGUUCAUUUGCCAGGGCAGUGAUUUCACAAACCACGGUGGCACCAGGGGUCUGCGCAGGCAUGGCACUAAGUGUCCCAUGGCACAUUUGGCCCUCAUGGAGGCCUCAAAAGGGCAGGACCAGCACCCUCUUCUACGGAGGAAGGAACGGGCACAGCAGGUUGCCCCAGACACCAAGGCAUCAAAAGCCAGGGGAUCCAGAGAAAACACAGACAGCCAAGAGAGAAACUGCGGGAAAAAGCCAAAAGGUUGAGAGCCACACCAUCUAGAAGCUUCCUGCCUGUGGUGCGGCACAGAAACAAGGAGAGUCAGCAAUUACCAGCCAGCCAAGGUCCUGGAAGCUGACGUAGAGCUCGUGCCGACGGCAGACCUGCCGGCCGUGGGAGCCGCGGACGUCAUCUGCAGGGACAGAAGGGGCAAGGUCUUUUCUGGGGUUCCUGCUGUGUGCAGCUACUAUGGGGUACCAGGGUGGGGGAUGCCCUGAUGAGCACAUUUGUCAAAUAAAUGAAUGACAGGAAACCA
ensembl:lncRNA PPIEL peptidylprolyl isomerase E like (pseudogene)